CCAUGCCUACGGGGCGCAGCAGUAGGGAAUCUUCCACAAUGGGCGAAAGCCUGAUGGAGCAACGCCGCGUGGGUGAAGAAGGUCUUCGGAUCGUAAAACCCUGUUGUUAGAGGAGAAAGUGCGUGAGAGUAACUGUUCACGUUUCGACGGUAUCUAACCAGAAAGCCACGGCUAACUACGUGCCAGCAGCCGCGGUAAUACGUAGGUGGCAAGCGUUAUCCGGAUUUAUUGGGCGUAAAGGGAACGCAGGCGGUCUUUUAAGUCUGAUGUGAAAGCCUUCGGCUUAACCGGCGUAGGGCAUUGGG
rnacentral:rRNA from 1 species